rnacentral:rRNA from 1 species
GACGAACGCUGGCGGCGUGCUUAACACAUGCAAGUCGAACGGAAAGGCCCUGCUUUUGUGGGGUGCUCGAGUGGCGAACGGGUGAGUAACACGUGAGUAACCUGCCCUUGACUUUGGGAUAACUUCAGGGAACUGGGGCUAAUACCGGAUAGGAGCUCCUGCUGCAUGGUGGGGGUUGGAAAGUUUCGGCGGUUGGGGAUGGACUGGCGGCUGAUCAGCUUGUUGGUGGGGUAGUGGCUUACCAAGGCAUUGACGGGUAGCCGGCCUGAGAGGGUGACCGGCCACAUUGGGACUGAGAUACGGCCCAGACUCCAACGGGAGGCAGCAGUGGGGAAUAUGGCACAAUGGGCGGAAGCCUGAUGCAGCAACGCCGCGUGCGGGAUGACGGCCUGCGGGUUGUAAACCGCUUUCGCCUGUGACGAAGCGUGAGUGACGGCAAUGGGUAAAGAAGCACCGGCUAACUACGUG